rnacentral:rRNA from 1 species
GUUGACUCUUUCGGGGAGAAAAAAGCCCUGAAGAGAAAGACGCCCUGUGGAAACGCAGGGAGAGGCGUCUCGGAUCAUUGACAACUAAAUAGGAGCAGCAACGUCCAAUUAAAGGGCCCUGAUCACGAAACACAGUAAUAAAAUGAAUCUGGAGAGUUUGAUCCUGGCUCAGAACGAACGCUGGCGGCGUGCCUUAACACAUGCAAGUCCAACGUGAAAGGGGAGCAAUCCCCCGGUAGGGUGGCAAACGGGUGAGG